rnacentral:rRNA from 1 species
UGCUAUACGACCUAGCGGCGGACGGGUGAGUAAUGCUUAGGAAUCUGCCUAUUAGUGGGGGACAACAUUCCGAAAGGAAUGCUAAUACCGCAUACGCCCUACGGGGGAAAGCAGGGGAUCUUCGGACCUUGCGCUAAUAGAUGAGCCUAAGUCAGAUUAGCUAGUUGGUGGGGUAAAGGCCUACCAAGGCGACGAUCUGUAGCGGGUCUGAGAGGAUGAUCCGCCACACUGGGACUGAGACACGGCCCAGACUCCUACGGGAGGCAGCAGUGGGGAAUAUUGGACAAUGGGCGAAAGCCUGAUCCAGCCAUGCCGCGUGUGUGAAGAAGGCCUUUUGGUUGUAAAGCACUUUAAGCGAGGAGGAGGCUACCGAGAUUAAUACUCUUGGAUAGUGGACGUUACUCGCAGAAUAAGCACCGGCUAACUCUGUGCCAGCAGCCGCGGUAAUACAGAGGGUGCGAGCGUUAAUCGGAUUUACUGGGCGUAAAGCGUGCGUAGGCGGCUUUUUAAGUCGGAUGUGAAAUCCCUGAGCUUAACUUAGGAAUUGCAUUCGAUACUGGGAAGCUAGAGUAUGGGAGAGGAUGGUAGAAUUCCAGGUGUAGCGGUGAAAUGCGUAUAGAUCUGGAGGAAUACCGAUGGCGAAGCCGCCAUCUGGCCUAAUACUGACGCUGAGGUACGAAAGCAUGGGGAGCAAACAGGAUUAGAUACCCUGGUAGUCCUGCCAUAAACGAUGUCUACUAGCCGGUGGGGCCUUUGACGCUUAGUGGCGCAGCUACGCGAUAGUAGACCGGCUGGGGAGU